UGAAGAGGGAAACAACCCAGACCGCCAGCUAAGGUCCCAAAGUCAUGGUUAAGUGGGAAACGAUGUGGGAAGGCCCAGACAGCCAGGAUGUUGGCUUAGAAGCAGCCAUCAUUUAAAGAAAGCGUAAUAGCUCACUGGUCGAGUCGGCCUGCGCGGAAGAUGUAACGGGGCUAAACCAUGCACCGAAGCUGCGGCAGCGAACGUAUCACCCAAGACAACUUUACGGAGUUGACGAUUGACGGAGCGAAGCGACGUCAAAGCGUUCAUUAAAGUCGAGUUGGCUUAGGGAUACGUUCGUUGGGUAGGGGAGCGUUCUGUAAGCCUGUGAAGGUGUGUCGUGAGGCAUGCUGGAGGUAUCAGAAGUGCGAAUGCUGACAUAAGUAACGAUAAAGCGGGUGAAAAGCCCGCUCGCCGGAAGACCAAGGGUUCCUGUCCAACGUUAAUCGGGGCAGGGUGAGUCGACCCCUAAGGCGAGGCCGAAAGGCGUAGUCGAUGGGAAACGGGUUAAUAUUCCCGUACUUGGUGUUACUGCGAAGGGGGGACGGAGAAGGCUAUGUUGGCCGGGCGACGGUUGUCCCGGUUUAAGCGUGUAGGUGUGUGUUCCAGGUAAAUCCGGUU
rnacentral:rRNA from 1 species